rnacentral:rRNA from 1 species
UGGGGAAUAUUGGACAAUGGGCGAAAGCCUGAUCCAGCCAUGCCGCGUGUGUGAAGAAGGUCUUCGGAUUGUAAAGCACUUUAAGUUGGGAGGAAGGGCAGUAAGCGAAUACCUUGCUGUUUUGACGUUACCGACAGAAUAAGCACCGGCUAACUCUGUGCCAGCAGCCGCGGUAAUACAGAGGGUGCGAGCGUUAAUCGGAUUUACUGGGCGUAAAGCGUGCGUAGGCGGCUAAUUGAGUCGGAUGUGAAAUCCCCGAGCUUAACUUGGGAAUUGCAUUCGAUACUGGUUGGCUAGAGUGUGGGAGAGGAUGGUAGAAUUCCAGGUGUAGCGGUGAAAUGCGUAGAGAUCUGGGGGAAUACCGAUGGCGAAGGCAGCCAUCUGGCCUAACACUGACGCUGAGGUACGAAAGCAUGGGGAGCAAACAGG